rnacentral:lncRNA from 1 species
GCCCCACCCCCUCCGAGGCCGAAAUCUGCGGAAGUUAAACAGCUCGAGGAUGGAGUCGGCGGCGUUAAGUUCCUAAUACGCGCGUUAUUUCCCAAACUCAGAAGGAUGGAAGAGGGCGCUGUGUGGGCAGGGGGCGUCGGGUCCCUCCGGAGCACAGUUAGGUGGGGGGCUGUCCCAUCCACUUGCCCAGGUGCAGUGGCCGCUAAGAAUCCAGCCAAGGCACCAACGCUGCGCCCCACACGCGGGAUGAUUGGGAUGCACAGGGGUGCAGAGUAGAGGGUCUCCGGGCGGUUCUCCACCGACUCCCUAGUGCGUCUCACCACGCGCCAGCCUUGGUGACCGCACUACACGUAUGAACUCCUUUGACCCUCGCAACAGCCGUCGAGAAAGGCACUCCCCCCACCCCCCACCGCGAUUUCCACUUCGCAGACCUGGAAACCGCAUCAGAAAGAGGUGAGGUGACUGCUCCGCAUCCGCAGACCCAGGACGCGGAGCUCUGGCCUCUGGAUGGCGGCGACUGCGCUUCCUUCUCCCUCCAGUUUCAGGCUGGGGGACACUCACCCCAGGGACGCGGGGGCGGGUGUGUGUGUUGGGGGGGUGCUGUAGGAGGGCCCGAGCAUCCUUAAGGGGCGGCUGCUGGAAGGAGAGCCAAAGAUCCAAAGAGGAGGGAGGAAUCCAAGGAUUCGGUGCCUCUAACCUACCUGGGGAACACUCUUCCUCAGAAACAAAGAGUAGUAUUCAAUAAUCAAACUAAGUCGGCUACAGCAAAUGGAACUUUCUGAGCCAGGGAUUGAAUCCGAGCCACAGCUUUGGCAACCCUGGAUCGUCUAACCCACUGCACUGGGCCAGGGAUCAAACCCACUCCUCCACAGCAACCCGAGCCACUGCAUUUGGAUCCUUAACCCACUGUGUCAUGGCAGGAACACAAGAAGGUAUAUUUUCAUCACUGGAAAAAUAAAAAAAAUAAUGUUACAAAAACGUAGACCCUCUCCAUCCUCCACCGCCAGCAGCAGCAAAAACAAAAUCACACACAGAAAAACUAAGAACAUGGUUUGAGGGAGAAGUGAGUUGGAAGCUGAGUUCAAGAUUGUCCUAACCCAGGACAAUUUGGCUUAAAACAGAAAAGGGAAAUGGCCAUAAACAUCUCUCAGGAAGGGUGGGGCCUCUGGUGGAAAGACAACAUCAAGGCACAGGCUAGGAUUUUCACAGGAUUCAUGCUAGCAAAAUGUUAUACAAGAAAGGUAAUUUUUGCAUCCUUGCCCAGACUGCAUUGAGAAAGACUAGUCAGAAAGUUACUGGUAUGGUUUUAAAGUGGUUAAUGCCUUGUUAUUAGGUGAGAACAGGGUGAAAGGGUGAUUCUCAGAACAUCUCAGUGGUCAAAUUCAGUAGGGAAUGGAGAGACAACCUCGCUGGCAUUUAGAGGUACCAAGACUCUACAUGGAAAAGAACAGUCUUUUCCGAUGCCCAAGAAAUUGGCUGAGAGAUGAUUUUGAUGGAAAAGUCCUGAAUGUGAUGAUAUACACGUCCUAUUAGCAUCAUUUAGAAUCAGGAUUCCAACGUUUGAAUACCAACUACCCUAUUUACUCUCUGACUUUUGUAAAAAUUUUAACCUCGUUGAGGGAGUUCCCGUCGUGGCACAGCAGAAAUGAAUCCAACUAGGAACCAUGAGGUUGUGGGUCCAAUCCCUGGCCUCCCUCAGUGGGUUAAGGAUCUGGCACUGCCGUGAGCGUGAGCUGUGGUGUAGGUUGCAGCCGCAGCUCAGAACCCACAUUGCUGUGGCUGUGGCAUGGGCCGGCGGGGCUGCAGCUCUGAUUAGACCCCUAGCUUGGGAACCUCCCUAUACUGUGGGUGCGGCCCUAAAAAGGACCAAAAAAAAGAAAAAAGAAAAAAAAAUUUAACCUCUUUGAGCUUUGGUUUCCUUUAUUUUAAAAAUGUAAAUAUCAAUAGCUACUUCACAGAACUGUUUUAAGGAUUAAAUAAACUUACACAAAAACACUUAAUGCCUGGUACAUACAUCUCAAAAAUGUUUCAAAACAUACCAUAUUACCUACCAUUGGGGGGGAGCUGGGGGAAGGGUCCACAGGACCUUCCUGUACAUUUUUCACAACUUCCUGUGAAUCUGUAAUUAUUUCAAAAU